UACGUAGGUUGCGAGCGUUACCCGGAUUUAUUGGGCGUAAAGAGUCUGUAGGUGGUUUCCUAAGUCUUAUUUCAAAGACUCCGACUCAAUCGGAGAAAGGGGUAGGAUACUAGAAAACUAGAGUUAUAUCGGGGUUACUGGAAUUUGUAGUGUAGGGGUAAAAUCCGUGGAUACUACAAAGAACACCAAGCGCGAAGGCGGGUAACUAGGUAUAUACUGACACUCAGAGACGAAAGCUAGGGUAGCAAAUCAGAUUAGAGACCUGAGUAGUCCUAGCCGUAAACAAUGUCUGUUAAUUCUCCCACCUUCGGGUGAGGGGAUGUAAGCUAACGCGUUAAACAGACCGCCUGGGGAGUAUAGCCGCAAGGCCGAAACUCAAACGAAUUGGCGGGGAGGCGCACAACCAGUGGAGCAUGUGGUUCAAUUCGAUACGAAGCGAUGAACCUUACCUGGGUUUGAAAUGUACCUGCAUGGUCCCAGAAACGGGAUCGGCCUUCGAGGGUGGUACACAGCUGUUGCAUGGCUGUCGUCAGCUCGUGACGUGAGUUGUUCUCUUAAGUGAGGUAACGAGCGCAACCCCCAUUCUGUGUUACUGUGUCACAGAAGACUGCCCAGCAUUAUUUUGUUGGGAGGAAGGAGGGGACGACGUCAAGUCAUCAUGAUGCUUAUAUCCAGGGCUACACACAUCCUACAAUGGAUUGUACAGAGGGUCGCGAAGCCGCGAGGCGGAGCUAAUCCUUAAAACAUUCCUCAGUUGGGAUUGCAGGCUGAAACUCGUCUGCAUGAACUUGGAAUUGGUAGUAAUCGCAAAUCAGCAGAUUGCGGUGAAUACGUUCUCGCCUCUUGCACACACUGCCCGUCAAAUCAGCAAAGUUGAGGGUACCUAAAGUCUUACUUUUGUAGGACCAAGGUAAAUUCAGCGAUGAGGGUU
rnacentral:rRNA from 1 species